rnacentral:rRNA from 1 species
UACGUAGGGGGCAAGCGUUAUCCGGAUUUACUGGGUGUAAAGGGAGCGUAGACGGCAGAGCAAGUCUGAAGUGAAAGCCCGCGGCCCAACUGCGGGACUGCUUUGGAAACUGCCCGGCUAGAGUGCUGGAGAGGUAAGCGGAAUUCCUAGUGUAGCGGUGAAAUGCGUAGAUAUUAGGAGGAACACUAGUGGCGAAGGCGGCUUACUGGACAGUAACUGACGUUGAGGCUCGAAAGCGUGGGGAGCAAACAGG